rnacentral:ncRNA from 1 species
CGCAAAAGGCUCAUUAUAUCAGUUAUGGUUCCUUAGAUCGUUAACAGUUACUUGGAUAUCUGUGGUAAUUCUAGAGCUAAUACAUGCAAUAUAAACACGGACCAAUGGAACGUGUGCUUUUAUUAGGCUAAAACCAAGCGACCUUUUUGGUCGUAUACUGGUUGAACUCUAGAUAACUUGCAGAUCGUAUGGUCUUGUACCGACGACAGAUCUUUCAAAUGUCUGCCCUAUCAACUUUUGAUGGUAGUAUUUAGGACUACCAUGGUUGCAACGGGUAACGGGGAAUCAGGGUUCGAUUCCGGAGAGGGAGCCUGAGAAACGGCUACCACAUCUAAGGAAAAAAAAAAAAAAAAAAAAAAAAAAAAAAAAAAAAAAAAAAAAAAAAAAACUUUAACAAGGACCUAUUGGAGGGCAAGUCUGGUGCCAGCAGCCGCGGUAACUCCAGCUCCAAUAGCGUAUAUUAAAGUUGUUGCGGUUAAAACGUUCGUAGUUGAACUUGUGCUUCAUACGGGUAGUACAACUAUAAUUGUAGUUUGUGCUAUACCUUAUGUAUGUAAGCGUAUUACCGGUGGAGUUCUUAUAUGUGAUUGUAAUACUUGUAUUCUUUGCAUAUUCCUCCUAUUUAAACCUGCUUCAAUGCUCUUCAUCGAGUGUUGUUGUGGGCCGGUACAAUUACUUUGAACAAAUUAGAGUGCUUAAAGCAGGCUCCAAAUGCUUGAAUAUUUUGUGCAUGGAAUAAUGAAAUAAGACCUCUGUUCUACUUUCAUUGGUUUUUAGAUCAAGAGGUAAUGAUUAAUAGAAGCAGUUUGGGGGCAUUAGUAUUACGACGCGAGAGGUGAAAUUCUUGGACCGUCGUAAGACUAACUUAAGCGAAAGCAUUUGCCAAAGAUGUUUUCAUUAAUCAAGAACGAAAGUUAGAGGUUCGAAGGCGAUCAGAUACCGCCCUAGUUCUAACCAUAAACGAUGCCAGCUAGCAAUUGGGUGUAGCUACUAUUAUGGCUCUCUCAGUCGCUUAGAUCGGAAGAGCG